AGUCGAGCGCGCCCUUCGGGGUGAGCGGCGGACGGGUGAGUAACGCGUGGGAAUAUGCCCUUCUCUAAGGAAUAGCCUCUGGAAACGGAGAGUAAUACCUUAUACGCCCUUUGGGGGAAAGAUUUAUCGGAGAAGGAUUAGCCCGCGUUAGAUUAGGUAGUUGGUGGGGUAACGGCCUACCAAGCCUACGAUCUAUAGCUGGUUUGAGAGGAUGAUCAGCCACACUGGGACUGAGACACGGCCCAGACUCCUACGGGAGGCAGCAGUAGGGAAUCUUAGACAAUGGGGGCAACCCUGAUCUAGCCAUGCCGCGUGUGUGAUGAAGGCCCUAGGGUCGUAAAGCACUUUCGCCAGAGAUGAUAAUGACAGUAUCUGGUAAAGAAACCCCGGCUAACUCCGUGCCAGCAGCCGCGGUAAUACGGAGGGGGUUAGCGUUGUUCGGAAUUACUGGGCGUAAAGCGCACGUAGGCGGAUUAGUAAGUUAGAGGUGAAAUCCCAGGGCUCAACCCUGGAACUGCCUUUAAUACUGCUAGUCUUGAAUUCGAGAGAGGUAAGUGGAAUUCCGAGUGUAGAGGUGAAAUUCCUAGAUAUUCGGAGGAACACCAGUGGCGAAGGCGGCUUACUGGCUCGAUACUGACGCUGAGGUGCGAAAGGGUGGGGAGCAAACAGGAUUUGAUUCCCUGGUAGCCCCCCCCGUAAACAAUGAAUGCCCAACCCUCGCCAAGUAUCCUUUGUUGGUGUCACACCCUAACGGAAUUAAGCAUUUCCCCCCUUGGGGAGUACGGCC
rnacentral:rRNA from 1 species